rnacentral:rRNA from 1 species
CCUACGGGAGGCAGCAGUGAGGAAUAUUGGUCAAUGGUCGAGAGACUGAACCAGCCAAGCCGCGUGAAGGAAGACGGCCCUACGGGUUGUAAACCUCUUUUUUAAGGGAACAAAACGAGGCACGUGUGACUCAUUGAGAGUACCUGACGAAUAAGCAUCGGCUAACUCCGUGCCAGCAGCCGCGGUAAUACGGAGGAUGCGAGCGUUAUCCGGAUUUAUUGGGUUUAAAGGGAGCGGAGGGGGGUUGUCAAGUCAGUGGUGAAAGUUGGGGGCUCAACCGCAUAAUUGCGGUUGAAACUGGCAGCCUUGAGUGCAGGAGAGGUAUGCGGAAUGCGAGGUGUAGCGGUGAAAUGCAUAGAUAUCACGAAGAACUCCGAUUGCGAAGGCAGCCUUCUGGCCUGUAACUGACGCUGAUGCUCGAAAGUGUGGGUAUCAAACAGGAUUAGAUACCCUUGUAGUC